UAGGGAAUCUUCCGCAAUGGACGAAAGUCUGACGGAGCAACGCCGCGUGAGUGAAGAAGGAUUUCGGUUCGUAAAACUCUGUUGUUAGGGAAGAAAAAAUGUAUAGUAACUAUAUACAAAAGAGACGGUACCUAACCAGAAAGCCACGGCUAACUACGUGCCAGCAGCCGCGGUAAUACGUAGGUGGCAAGCGUUGUCCGGAAUUAUUGGGCGUAAAGCGCGCGCAGGUGGUUUAGAAAGUCUGAUGUGAAAGCCCACGGCUCAACCGUGGAGGGUCAUUGGAAACUAAUAAACUUGAGUGCAGGAGAGAAAAGUGGAAUUCCUAGUGUGGCGGUGAAAUGCGUAGAGAUUAGGAGGAACACCGGUGGCGAAAGCGGCUUUUUGGCCUGCAACUGACACUGAGGCGCGAAAGCGUGGGGAGCAAACAGG
rnacentral:rRNA from 1 species